rnacentral:rRNA from 1 species
UAAACGACUCUUGGCAACGGAUAUCUCGGCUCUCGCAUCGAUGAAGAAUGUAGUGAAAGGCGAUACUUGGUGUGAAUUUCAGAAUCCCGUGAACCAUUGAGUCUUUGAACGCAAGUUGCGCCAGAAGCCAUUAGGCCGAGGGCACGUCUGCCUGGGCGUCACAU